UCCCCUUCCCUGGACCCCCCUCGCUCCUCUCCCCAACCCGACCCGAUCUGGAUUGGGAUCGGGCGAACCGCCCCGACCCCAUCGCCGUCGCCCCUCGCCACCACCUCGACCCCCCGCCCCCUCUCCUUCCGCGUGGCACCGCCCGACCCGGAGUCGCUCGUCGCCUCGAGCCGGCGCCCCGCCACCUCGUCACCGCUGCCGGAUCGCGUCCUCGCCCCUCCCCGAUGGAACCUCCCCGCACCUCGCCGAUGAACCCAUGCACCAGGGAUGGUGGAUCCAUGGAGCUAGAUGCCACCGCCGACGGAUACUACUUCAUGGAGACCGUCGACGACCAUGAGUAGUUAGGAGGUCCCAGGCAGGAGGCCUUGCCUCUUCGAUCGUUGUUGUUUUUGUGCUUGCCUUCUUAAGGCAAUCUUGUUUAAGUUAUGUCUAUACUCAGAUAUUGUUGCUUCCGCUGACGCUUGUGUAUCGAGCUUGUAUUCGAGCCCUCGAGGCCCCCUGGCUUGUAAUAUGAAGCUUGUAUUAUUUCUAUUUGUGUCUAGAUUUGUGUUGUGAUA